rnacentral:piRNA from 1 species
AAAGUGCAAAGCUGCUUAGAAGAGGGUCC